AACAAGCAUUUCCAUCCUUAAACGGCUUACCUGGAGAGACACUGCACAGUUACAUAGAGGAUCAAAAUGUCGCAAAUGAUCCAUGGCAUGGAUUUGAGGAGUGGUAUCUCAAGGAAGAAGUCAACAAGCUUUUAAACUCAACUCUCAACGAGCGUGAGAGGGACAUUAUCCGGUUAUAUCAUGGCAUAGGAAAACAAUGCCAUACAUGGGAGGAUAUUAGCAGACAAUUCGGGUUGUCGAGGGA
rnacentral:misc_RNA from 1 species